UUCAGGAGAUAGACUCGAAAUCUAUUAGGCAUUGCCUGCACAGGUUCGAAUCCUGUCGCUGUCG